UGGGGAAUUUUCCGCAAUGGGCGAAAGCCUGACGGAGCAAUACCGCGUGAGGGAAGACUGCCUAUGGGUUGUAAACCUCUUUUUUCAGGGAGGAAUAAAAUGACGUGUACCUGAAGAAUAAGCAUCGGCUAACUCCGUGCCAGCAGCCGCGGUAAGACGGAGGAUGCAAGUGUUAUCCGGAAUCACUGGGCGUAAAGCGUCUGUAGGUGGUUUAAUAAGUCAACUGUUAAAUCUUGAGGCUCAACUUCAAAAUCGCAGUCGAAACUAUUAGACUAGAGUAUAGUAGAGGUAAAGGGAAUUUCCAGUGGAGCGGUGAAAUGCGUAGAUAUUGGAAAGAACACCGAUGGCGAAAGCACUUUACUGGGCUAUUACUAACACUCAGAGACGAAAGCUAGGGUAGCAAAUGGGAUUAGAUACCCCAGUAGUCCUAGCCGUAAACUAUGGAUACUAGAUGUUGAACAGAUCGACCUGUGCAGUAUCAAAGCUAACGCGUAAGUUCCCGCCUGA
rnacentral:rRNA from 1 species